rnacentral:rRNA from 1 species
UACAGAGGGGGCAAGCGUUAUUCGGAAUUAUUGGGCGUAAAGGGCGCGUAGGCGGCUUGGCAAGUGGAAGGUGAAAUCCCUCGGCUUAACCGAGGAACUGCCCUCCAAACUGCUUCGCUUGAGACCGGGAGAGGUGAGUGGAAUUCCCAGUGUAGCGGUGAAAUGCGUAGAUAUUGGGAGGAACACCAGUGGCGAAGGCGGCUCACUGGACCGGUACUGACGCUGAUGCGCGAAAGCGUGGGGAGCGAACAGG